GUUAAACAUCUAUUGGUGGUUUCGAGACGAUUCGCGUCAGAAAUUGAAAUUUCUCGAAAAAAAUGCUCCGACGCCUACAUAUUUCGAAGCCUCAGUUUGCCAAAAAAGCGAUCAUCUGGUUGGAACACGGCGAUGAGGAGAGCAUUGCACCGAAUAUUCUCGAAACCGAAGGCGAAUCGAGUGGCGAGGAAAAUGUAGACAAUCCACUCAUCGCAAAAAAAUCCAUUCGGAAAAUCACACCGGCUCGAUCAUUCGAGAAAAAGAAGAAUCCCUUGCAGCCUUUGAACAUCAAAAAUGUGAAAAAAGUCAGGAAGAAUUCCUCGGAUUCCGUUUGCUCGAGUAAAAAGAGCGGAAAACAGGCUUCAGUGGACCAGGUUCCGCCGCUCCUGCAACGAGCUCUGUGUACGAAAAGCCGUUCUCCGAAAAAUUCGGAAAAUUUUCUAUAUCUCGAGAAUGCAGUAGGACGUGAACACCAAGCCCAUGUCGGACCAUUCAAAAAACUCCGAGGACGCGAUGAGGAGGAGGAUCGAGAUGAGAGAAUGUGGUGUCCGCCUGAUGAUGAUCAAAACUUGGACUACGACCUGCUCAAAAACGCGUACUGGAGAGCAAUUUGGCGCCAAUUCGAAAAUCAUAUUCCGAUGGAGGUUGCACUUCAAUGGUUGAUGAUCAACGACUAUUCAAUUGAGAAGAGCCUUGAUUCCAUUGAUCAAGUACUUCCAGAUCUUCCACGUGCUUUCCAGCCACUUCGUGUUGUGCAAAUUGAGCGGUUCAAAGAUGCUCUCAAGAAGAUGAAAAAAGGGCCAAUUUUGCGAGAAAUUCAGAAGAAUUGUAUGCCCAACUACAACCUCGACGAGAUCCAUCACUUCUGCCACGCAUUCCAACAUCACAUCAUGGAAAAAACCAGCAAAUCCUGCCACUGCAACGAGCCGCUCUGUGAGGACUUGGAGUUUCAACCUCGAUGGGCUUGUCAGAAUUGCAACAAAGCGUUGAAGUAUUACGAUCCAAUUCCCGACGAUACUAAGCUCUGUCUGAUCUGCUCUACUUAUCAAGGAAUUACUGGAAACACCCGUCCAUCGAAAGCCACUGUGUUCAGCAAGGAAGAAGCCAACAAGGUUAUUUCUUGGAAUACGCUGAUGCGAACAUCGUCGGGCUCACUGUCACGGGAAGAGUUUGAGAAGAUCUACGCAUUGAAGAGAUCUGAGCUCACAAAGGAAGAGAUCGAAAUUCUCGGACACAACGACAAUAUCAAUCGUCAUUUGGCUGUGGAGAAGCGUAUUUCUGCAAUGUCAACGUCUGAAAAGCUGAAGCCAUAUUCUAUCCCGCUUUUCCAAAAAUGCGGUUAUCAAAAUGGACAUCACAUGAUCGUUGAAGUUUGCCCAGGAGUAGCGGAAAAGCUCAAGACGAUGAUUGUUUCGGUGAAAAAUUCGAAAAAUUUCGAACGAGUUCAAAGACCAUAA
rnacentral:misc_RNA from 1 species